rnacentral:rRNA from 1 species
GUGUCAGCCGCCGCGGUAAUACGGAGGGUGCGAGCGUUGUCCGGAAUCACUGGGCGUAAAGGGCGCGUAGGCGGCCGAGCAAGGUCGCGGUGAAAGCCCGGGGCUCAACCCCGGGUCGGCCGUGGCAACUACUCGGCUCGAGCACUGUAGGGGCGGGUGGAAUUCCGGGUGUAGCGGUGGAAUGCGUAGAGAUCCGGAAGAACACCGGUGGCGAAGGCGGCCCGCUGGGCAGGAAGACCCCUUUACGGGGGUCGGCUGACGCUGAGGCGCGACAGCGUGGGGAGCAAACAGGAUUAGAAACCCGCGUAGUCC